GACGAACGCUGGCGGCGUGCUUAACACAUGCAAGUCGAACGGAAAGGCCCUGCUUUUGUGGGGUUCUCGAGUGGCGAACGGGUGAGUAACACGUGAGUAACCUGCCCUUGACUUUGGGAUAACUUCAGGAAACUGGGGCUAAUACCGGAUAGGAGCUCCUGCUGCAUGGUGGGGGUUGGAAAGUUUCGGCGGUUGGGGAUGGACUCGCGGCUUAUCAGCUUGUUGGUGGGGUAGUUGCUUACCAAGGCUUUGACGGGUAGCCGGCCUGAGAGGGUGACCGGCCACAAUGGGACUGAGGUACGGACCAGACUGCUACGUGAGGCAGCAGUGGGGAAUAUUGCACAAUGGGCGGAAGCCUGAUGCAGAGACGCCGCGUGCGGGAUGACGGCCUUCGGGUUGUAAACCGCUUUCGGCUGUGACGAAGCGGGAGUGACGGUAAUGGGUAAAGAAGCACCGGCUAACUACGUG
rnacentral:rRNA from 1 species